rnacentral:rRNA from 1 species
UACGUAGGGGGCGAGCGUUGUCCGGAAUUAUUGGGCGUAAAGAGCUCGUAGGCGGUUUGUCGCGUCUGCUGUGAAAACUGGAGGCUCAACCUCCAGCCUGCAGUGGGUACGGGCAAACUAGAGUGCGGUAGGGGAGAUUGGAAUUCCUGGUGUAGCGGUGGAAUGCGCAGAUAUCAGGAGGAACACCGAUGGCGAAGGCAGAUCUCUGGGCCGUAACUGACGCUGAGGAGCGAAAGCAUGGGGAGCGAACAGG